GACGAACGCUGGCGGCGUGCUUAACACAUGCAAGUCGAACGGAAAGGCCCUGCUUUUGUGGGGUGCUCGAGUGGCGAACGGGUGAGUAACACGUGAGUAACCUGCCCUUGACUUUGUGAUAACUUCAGGAAACUGGGGCUAAUACCGGAUAGGAGCUCCUGCUGCAUGGUGGGGGUUGGAAAGCUUAGGCGGUUGGGGAUGGACUCGCGGCUUAUCAGCUGGUUGGUGGGGUAGUGGCCUACCAAGCCUUUGACGGGUAGCCGGCCUGAGAGGGUGACCGGCCACAAUGGGACUGAGAUACGGCCCAGUCUGCUACGGGAGGCAGCGGUGGGGAGUAUUACACAAUGGGCGGAAGCCUGAUGCAGCAACGCCGCGUGCGGGAUGACGGCCUUCUGGUUGUAAACCGCUUUCGCCUGUGACGAAGCGUGAGUGACGGUAAUGGGUAAAGAAGCACCGGCUAACUACGUG
rnacentral:rRNA from 1 species